AAAGCACUUUUGUCCGGAAAGAAAACCUUUGGGCUAAUACCCUGAGGGGAUGACGGUACCGGAAGAAUAAGCACCGGCUAACUACGUGCCAGCAGCCGCGGUAAUACGUAGGGUGCGAGCGUUAAUCGGAAUUACUGGGCGUAAAGCGUGCGCAGGCGGUUCGUUAAGACAGAUGUGAAAUCCCCGGGCUUAACCUGGGAACUGCAUUUGUGACUGGCGAGCUAGAGUAUGGCAGAGGGGGGUAGAAUUCCACGUGUAGCAGUGAAAUGCGUAGAGAUGUGGAGGAAUACCGAUGGCGAAGGCAGCCCCCUGGGCCAAUACUGACGCUCAUGCACGAAAGCGUGGGGAGCAAACAGGAUUAGAUACCCUGGUAGUCCACGCCCUAAA
rnacentral:rRNA from 1 species